AUGCUCCUCCUUCCGUCGCAGCUAACCGUGAUUUUUUCGCUCACAAUUUCUCUUCUCCGUGUAGAUCUUCCCUUGGUGGCGCUUGCAUCUUCACAUGGCAUAAGAUCGAAGGAUCCUAUGAACCCAGGCCGUCAUGAACGGUCAUCCACCCCGCCGGAGAUUGGUAUUGCUUGCAUGUUCACAGGACCAUGGACCGAGGAUUUCCUGAACACGAUGAACAUCCUAGGUUUUCGAUGUUUGUUUUCCUCGCUCUACGCGGGGAGAUCUCAUUCUGACCCUGCCCUAGCUCUGUUCUCUACAAACCCUGACCUACUGCUGCCGUUUUGGGGCUGCUACCGAAGUUUCUGUUCAUGA
rnacentral:rRNA from 1 species